rnacentral:lncRNA from 1 species
AGAGGGAGGGGGUGCGGCACUGCAAGGGGGGGUGGGGGCGUGGGUGGGAGAGGAACAGGCGGUGAGAUGAGGUUUUGGGGAGAAAAUUUAUUUUUAAAAUGGGGGUAUUUUGGUCAAAAAUAGAGCUUCCCGACAAAGCUGAAAACAGCAUUUUCGGAAAGUUUCAAAUUGGAGCUUCUCCCCAAAAGCUGUUUUCAGCUUCCCGCAAAAGCUGAAACAGCUUUCCGAAAAUUUUACCAAACACCAUUUUUUAUCUAAAAGUACUUUUGGAGGGCCAGAAAGUGCUUUUUGGCCCUCUAAAAGCUCUCCCAAACAGGACCUAAAUAUUAGGUCAAACUACAAACAAAGAACCUAAACAAGCAGUCUCAUUUCCAAACAGUAACAAGGAAGAUGAAGUCCAUUAAGAUAUGAUUCAUAUCAUACCGUUACCUGCAAAACAAAAAUGAUAUCAAGUUAAUGAUAAUAUUAUAAGAAAGCACUCUUAAUAUCAACGGUAUAUGAAUAUAAUACUAUGACAAACGAUAAAGUCAUUUGUGUUUACCCAGUUGAAGGUUAUGCUCAACCAAAUGCAGUGAAGCAUUAGGAGCAUUGGAGACAUCUGGUACCUAUCAAUAGAAUUCAACAAGUUACAUCAUAUGAGUAUACUGUGACAAUGUUCAUCUUAACAUAAAAUAUUUCUAUAAUUGUUUGUUAAAUCCCUAGGAAAUCAUAAGUUAAUUUAUACUAAACAAAUGCAAAAUAUUGUAAAUUUGGUACCUACUAAUCAAAUUUAUAAGAAGGAAGAAAUGACUCCAAGGAAGGUAGAUUACCUCUUUGUGGCGACCACCGACUUCUAUUGUGUAUAAAAUAUCAACAUUAUUUAGCUCUAGGGCGAUCCACUAAAAGACUGUCUAUAAUGAUGACAAUUGGGUUUGCAGUCCUAAUAUGCAAUUUUUUUGAGCUUCUCAUGUAUCACUUUAUCAUGUUGUGUAUUACAAAAAUAGUAAGAAAAUUUUAAAUUUAGUAAUUAAUAUUUGUUGACAUAAUAAUUGUUUUAUACCAUUUCAUUACAAGCCAGUGCAAAUGCCUUCAAUCCAUUCAGUUGGACUCUUUCUGUGGAAUAAACUUCUAGAGGCCAUGUUAGGGCCUCCUAAAUCAUGCAUCACCAUCCUACAUUACUCGUAAAUUUAUUCACUACUUCAUCAGAGCAUGAUACCAAAGGUGCAAUAUACACAAAAUAGAGGAGGUGUAAUUGCCAAUUAAAAUUAUAUUUGAUAGACACAAAUGUCGGAGCACAUGUCAUCAGAGCACCUGUAAAGACAACAGAUAACCAGAUCAAAAACAGAACUAGCUGUAGUAUCCAAACCAAUAAUGAAAAUAAAAAAUUCAGCAGAAUUUCAAUCAAGAAUUCAUAUUAGCUCAGGAGAAAAUUUUCAAUCAAGAAUCCAAUGGACUAUAUUAGUAUCAUCUGCUUUGCACUGCUUAAAUAGGGGAGGUAGAUGCAGCUGUAGAAUGAACCGCGUUGUAAGACCCUGAUCCAUCUAGCCCUAACUCAGAAUCUCUCCUAGAAAUUAGUGCAAGCCUUAAAACCAUCUUUUUUGCAUAAAUAAGAAAUAAGGAAGCUUCCCAAAAUUGUGAUGAAGGUACACAAGUUGGCAUAAAGGGUACACUAUGUUUCAAAAACGUUAACAUGUGUAAUGCUUUUGAAGGGUAAGACAAUUGGUUACAUUCUAUAUUGAAGCAAAUGAAACCAAGAGAAAUGAAAAGCUCUUAAUGCUCAUUGGCCUAGUCAAUACUAUGUUUAGCAUUUGGCACUGCAGCCUCAUGCAUCACUGAGAUCUUGAUAUAUACAUUUUGCAUAGCUAUUCUCCACAUUAAAAGUAAAACACCAUAGGGGAUCCUUUUAAAUUGGUUUCUUUCAGCAAAGUAUUGACCCAGGGCUUGAUAUUGUUAAUGACUCCAAGACUAAAUUAAUCAACUUACCUCUCAUGUUGUUCCUCCUACAGGGUAUUAUGCAAGUCUCCACUAAUGAUCCUAGUGCAGCCAUUUACUCUUUGUUGUGAAUGUGAAUAUGUUUUAUCAGAUACCAAUACUCUUGUCUUUUUUGUUUUUCACUCGUGAAGUAUAUUCUCAUAUUUUCUACCUAGAAUUCCCAACAAGAAUUAAGCAUGUUAAUUUGGAGUAGUGUGGAUGGUUUUAUGUUUG